rnacentral:rRNA from 1 species
UACGUAGGGUGCAAGCGUUAAUCGGAAUUACUGGGCGUAAAGCGUGCGCAGGCGGUUAUGUAAGACAGGUGUGAAAUCCCCGGGCUUAACCUGGGAACUGCAUUUGUGACUGCAUAGCUAGAGUACGGCAGAGGGGGAUGGAAUUCCGCGUGUAGCGGUGAAAUGCGUAGAUAUGCGGAGGAACACCGAUGGCGAAGGCAAUCCCCUGGGCCUGUACUGACGCUCAUGCACGAAAGCGUGGGGAGCAAACAGG